rnacentral:lncRNA from 1 species
GCCAGUUCGCCACACAAGGUAAAUCCUAUAUAUGUUAAUUGGUUUGAUCUCCUCCUCGUCAUCCUCUGUAAAUCCCCUCAAAUCGUCUCUCGAUUUCAGCGAUCCCAUAAAGGUAUGUAUGACUCUUCCGUUUCCCCUUCAUCUUGUCGCUCAUCUAUAUUACCCACUUUUCUCCCCUAUCUCUCUCGCUCUAUGGUUUCUAUAUCCCUUUGUAUUACUCACUCUUUCUUAGUCUCAGUAAGUCAAGGGAACAUAGGUUAGGGUUUCGACUUCUUAAGAUAUCAAUUGUUGAGAAGUUAUAGCUUACAAAGUAAAAGGCGAGGCUUUAAUUAUUUGAUGUUUCAGUUGUUCUUAUUUGAACUUAGUUAAGGUCAUAUUUGAUGUAUCAGUUUGAGUUUUAUUUUGUUAAUUACUUAAUUGGUUACAAUGAUUUCACAAUGAAAUUAUUCCAAUAUUUGUAGAACUUGGUUUUGUGGAGUAUUUCAGAGUAACAUUGGUAAGCAAGAUUGGACACACUUUUUAAAAG